rnacentral:lncRNA from 1 species
GGUAUUGUUGAGCAUAAACAGGGAAACAAACUGGAAAAGGAUUAAAAAAUAAAUAAAUAUAAAAUUCUGGGAGGCAAAUCUAGGUUAGCAGAGACAAUAUUCUCUGUGAGGGUGAAAGUGAUGUUGUUUGGAAGUAGGAAUAGGAUUAACAACAGAAAAAACAAACUCUUGGAGACGAUCUGGGUGAGGAGAGGCAGUGUUCUCUAUGAUGCACAUGUAGGAAAGGAUGAAUUACACAAACUUUAAUUAGAUGUUUUCUUGAUUUUAGAUAGAUGUAAUGGUUAACCCUUAUAGUCGAGGGAUGUGAACACUAUGCUUCGACGUACUUAUUUUUAAUUGGAGAUAGAAGUUUAUUGUAUUUUUCGUGCUGGGAAUAUAAGUUCUUACGGUACCCCGACUCCCUAUGGAGGUAUGAGUUGUUACAGCUCUUAUCCAAUCAUUUGAAAUAAGAGGAUCAAAGCACACAACUCCUCUACAUGAUCCAUUCGAUGGAACAAGAGAUUUAAUGCUUAACAAUUGAUCUAUUUUUCUCUUAUUUGUUUACUGAUCAUGUAUAUUUAUCAAUGUCGUUGAUUGAUUUGCAUUCAAUUUUUUUUAAAAGGAUAUCAUAGAUCACUUUCUUAUAGCAAUGUAUAAAAUGAAAGGAGAUUCUAGUUGCGGUCCUAAUUAUUUCUAUGACUUGCUUUCCACCUUCAUGGCUAAAUCUGAAAUCACCUUAUCAGACAUGGAUAAAGCUUUGUAUGUGUAUGUAAUAUAU